GCCAGACUCCUACGGGAGGCAGCAGUGAGGAAUAUUGGUCAAUGGGCUUACGCCUGAACCAGCCAAGUCGCGUGAGGGAGUACUGCCCUAUGGGUUGUAAACCUCUUUUGUCGGGGAGCAAAAGCCGGACGUGUCCGGCUGUGAGAGUACCCGAAGAAAAAGCAUCGGCUAACUCCGUGCCAGCAGCCGCGGUAAUACGGAGGAUGCGAGCGUUAUCCGGAUUUAUUGGGUUUAAAGGGUGCGUAGGCGGAAUGCCAAGUCAGCGGUAAAAUCGCGGGGCUCAACCUCGCUCCGCCGUUGAAACUGGCGUUCUUGAGUGGGCGAGAAGUAUGCGGAAUGCGUGGUGUAGCGGUGAAAUGCAUAGAUAUCACGCAGAACUCCGAUUGCGAAGGCAGCAUACCGGCGCCCAACUGACGCUGAAGCACGAAAGCGUGGGUAUCGAACAGGAUUAGAUACCCUUGUAGU
rnacentral:rRNA from 1 species